rfam:Amborella trichopoda AMTR_V1.0_contig_41416, whole genome shotgun sequence.
GGGAUUGUAGUUCAAUUGGUCAGAGCACUGCCCUGUCAAGGCGGAAGCUGUGGAUUGGAGACCCGUCAGUCCCA